UACGGAGGGUCCAAGCGUUAUCCGGAAUCAUUGGGUUUAAAGGGUGCGUAGGCGGCCUAUUAAGUCAGUUCUGAAAUAUCCCGGCUUAACCGGGAGGGUGGGAUUGAUACUGAUGGGCUUGAGUGGAGUCGAGGUAGGCGGAAUUGACGGUGUAGCGGUGAAAUGCUUAGAUAUCGUCAAGAACACCGAUAGUGUAGACAGCUUACUAGACUUCAACUGACGCUGAGGCACGAAAGUGUGGGGAUCAAACAGG
rnacentral:rRNA from 1 species